CCGUUUCAAAAGUACCGGUUUGGCACCGGUAUCGGAUAAAACCUAAACGAUACCCAUCCCUAGUGAAAUGUGUGGAACUGGGCUGAACUAUAAGCUGUGUUUUGUAUUUUUUCUUGAGCUACUCGUGCAUCGAGUUGUUCUUUAAUGAUAAAGAUUAGCUAUCAUGUGACUGAGUGAAUCCACGAAUCCUUUGAUUUCAUAAAAACAGUUCAAAGUGCUGCAGUGGAAACAGUCGUGUCAUCUGCAUACAGGUGUUUCUGCCCCUCCAUCAGAGGCUCUGUGGCCGACUGAGCUGUAAUAACCUGACAGAGUAACAGAGAAGACGGUCAGACUGAAUGACGCCCCCCUGCAGCAGUCUGAUGCAGCUGCUCUCCUCCACCCCCUCCUCUCUGCUCGUCUGAGCGUUCAUUAAUCUGCAGAGAUACGAGGUGCAGCUAAGCAGUUAACACAGCAUCCGAUCUGCCUGUUUGAUUACCUGGGAAUCCCGGAAGGCAUCCAUCAGCCGGUUAUGAGCUUCAUCUUUCGCCGCAGGCUCUGAGCAGCGCCACCGCUGCACUCAUCACCACGGUGACGACUUAAAGGAUAGAAAUGAAAAGAGAGGCGGGUUUUACUUCAUCACAGCACGUCGUGUUGCCCGGGGAACGAUGGCAAGUCUGAAGUUAUCCAGGGAGAGAUCCAUCAGACGUUGAGCAGCGUGCUUCACGGGCCGGAAUAAUGUUUUCUCAGCCGAUCAGACGGCCAUUCAUCACCAAACCUCCACUCGCUGCUAAAUAUUCCACUCUGUCGAGGCCCAUCCAUCCUUUCUCUUAUGUUUCCCCAUCGCACCGACACUGACAGAGCUGCUCUCCACACUUCUCUCCUCACUUAGUUCCAGAUUUGAUGCCGAGCAUUUUUAAGAAAGUCGGCGUGAACAUCUGAAGCUGGAGUGUUCAGCUGUUCACGCUCUGACUUACAACCAAUUUACCAUCACCCACUACCCAGCAUGCACUUCUUUGGACUGUGGGAGAGGACCCUCACUCACGGGGGAGAACGUCCACACAAAGGACGAGCCGGCUGCAGGAUUCAGGCUCGUCAGGACGGUCCUGGUGCCACCACAGCACUGGCCCUGCUGGUGGAAUAAUGAGGUCGUGGUUUGUUCUCGAGGCUGCGGAGCUGUAACGUCCUCAGGUGCUUUAAUGAAGCAGCGACACUCAGAUUAAACUGCUGCGUCUCGAGGCCGAAGAGCAGAGAUAAGAGCAGACAGCAGCCUGUAGAAUCAGCCCGCUCACGCCUCUGAUAAGCUAAGAGGCUUAAAAUGGGAGUCAAAGGAGUGGAACUGGGUUUAAGUGAUCCGGAGCGUCUCAGGGCAGGAGCACUUCCUGUUUGGACACGUGGCGGCGAACAGUCCUGACCUGUGAUUCAGCGCUUCGUGCCGUUAAUCUCAAGCAACAGAUUCAGUGCUCGAAGAAGGAAAUGAAUCAAUAUAAUCAAUAAAUGAUUGAAAUUUAUGUCCGUCGAGGAAUUAUUGUGUAAUAAACCAGGAGAAGGAGCUCAUUAGUCAGCUCAUACUCCACAGUGACGCUGCGGUCCGUCCCACAUCAGUCAGCUCAUCACUCCGCCGACAACGCCUGCUCAUCCGGAGAGACGGUGCUGAGCUCAGGGGGGGGGGGCGGUGUGAUGUCAGCAGAGCUGUGAGAUGUGAUAAAGGUUUUCUUUAUUUUGUCAUCGACCCCUCUGACCCUGUAAAGGACCCCUGCUCCACCUCGCAGCACGGUGACAUUUAAAGAAGCUCUGAUAUCACCAUAGAGCGCUUCACUGUCUUUGUUCGCCGUGACCGGCGCUCAUCCACCUGCCUACACUCAUGUUUCCAGUCUGAGUCAUGGGGAACUCAUUUCCCAGUAACACACAUGAAUGUUUCUGGGCGCUGUAAUCAGCGGAGCUCUGACACAAACUGUCCUGACUGAAGCGUAGCAGCAGGUGAAGCGUCCUGCUGACGGCUGACAGCCGGGGACCGGUCGGCGCCGACAUGUUGCUGCUGAGCUCGUCGGCACUAGAAAUACUAGUUGGUUAAAUAUUAUUUUAUUAAUGUACAAUAACACUUUUACCCAUGGUUACAGCUCUGAGAGACGCCCGUUAAUUUUGGAAUAGUCCUGUUACGACACAACCUUAAUUAGAGUGAAGAGGGGUAAUAAAUCUGACUAAACUAAUGAAUGAGGUCAAAACUGCAUCGAUCCUGGUUAUCAGGGCGUCCCGUGGAAGAAAAACUCCAUCCAGGUUUGAGGGUUUCUGAGCGCUGCAGACUCCCUGCCCUCCUGCAGUGGCACAAAUUUCUAACAAAUAGAUUAUAAAUAAUUAGAUAAGGAAUAAUUAGAUUAGGAAUAAUUCUAGCAAAUUAUGUAGAUCCAAUUAAAGCGGGAUAAACCUGCAGCUAUGGGAGUGGAGGAGCAGCCUCAGUGGAGAUCCAGUUUAAUGAAACAGCAGAAAUCACUUAAAGACGGAGUCUCCACGUGUGCCCGGAAACCUGCGCUCACAAAUCCGAACAAUGAAGUCGGAGUCACAGAAACGGGAAAGCUGACAAAUAUCACAUCCACAGGAAAAAUCCACGGUUCACACAGAGCAGCCAAAGCGAGUGUUCAGACUGUCGUCAGCUCCUCUCAGGAUAAACUCACAGACUUACGUCAAUAAACCGUUUGGAUUCCUUGAGCUGACGUUUGUCAUUAUGGAGACGAGCAAAGAAAUGCGCGCGCGCACACACACACACACA